UGGGGUGUAACUCAGUGGUAGAGCACUUGCUUGGCAUGCUUGAGGCCCUGGGUUCCAUUCCCAGAACCUAAA
rnacentral:tRNA from 1 species